rnacentral:rRNA from 1 species
ACAAGUGCAAGAGUAACUGCUUGCACCUUGACGGUACCUAACCAGAAAGCCACGGCUAACUACGUGCCAGCAGCCGCGGUAAUACGUAGGUGGCAAGCGUUGUCCGGAAUUAUUGGGCGUAAAGGGCUCGCAGGCGGUUUCUUAAGUCUGAUGUGAAAGCCCCCGGCUCAACCGGGGAGGGUCAUUGGAAACUGGGAAACUUGAGUGCAGAAGAGGAGAGUGGAAUUCCACGUGUAGCGGUGAAAUGCGUAGAGAUGUGGAGGAACACCAGUGGCGAAGGCGACUCUCUGGUCUGUAACUGACGCUGAGGAGCGAAAGCGUGGGGAGCGAACAGGAUUAGAUACCCUGGUAGUCCACGCCGUAAACGAUGAGUGCUAAGUGUUAGGGGGUUUCCGCCCCUUAGUGCUGCAGCUAACGCAUUAAGCACUCCGCCUGGGGAGUACGGUCGCAAGACUGAAACUCAAAGGAAUUGACGGGGGCCCGCACAAGCGGUGGAGCAUGUGGUUUAAUUCGAAGCAACGCGAAGAACCUUACCAGGUCUUGACAUCCUCUGACAACCCUAGAGAUAGGGCUUUCCCUUCGGGGACAGAGUGACAGGUGGUGCAUGGUUGUCGUCAGCUCGUGUCGUGAGAUGUUGGGUUAAGUCCCGCAACGAGCGCAACCCUUGAUCUUAGUUGCCAGCAUUCAGUUGGGCACUCUAAGGUGACUGCCGGUGACAAACCGGAGGAAGGUGGGGAUGACGUCAAAUCAUCAUGCCCCUUAUGACCUGGGCUACACACGUGCUACAAUGGACAGAACAAAGGGCUGCGAGACCGCAAGGUUUAGCCAAUCCCACAAAUCUGUUC